UAUACAUGUUGCAGGCAGGCACCAUCAGACACCUGAGGCUGUUCGUGAUAAACCAAAGCAUAUAGGUCUAAAACAUGACCUAACCUCAUGUCAGUUGUUCAAAGAAGGACGCUAUACCACAAUGAUCGUGUGGCUGUCUUCUAUGAUUCUUCUCAGCACAUUGCCUCUGAUCAAAUCCAUAGGCAUUCCUCACCAGAACCAUAUCAUUGCAGCUGAACUUGGUGAUAAUUUGACUCUGACCUGUCCAGCCUCUGAGGAGAAACUUGGGUUGUUUUACUGGUUUAGGCUGAAGUUUGGAUAUGUGGUCCAAAUUGUUGCAGCAGGAAGUUUUUACAAAAUAGAACUCCGAGGACAAUUUCACGACUCAAGAUUUACAGUCCAAAAAAAGGAUUCUCUGUAUUUUCUUACUAUCAAAAAUGUUAGCAAAGAAGAUGAAGCAACAUACAUCUGUCAAGAGGGAUCAGCGUACUCAAUGCAAUUUGUGAACGGCACAGUUUUGGCUGUAAAUGAACAAGGAUGGGACCCCGUUAACAUUGUGCUCGGGGUGCUGUUGGCUCUCUGUGUGAUUGUGAUCAUGAUCCUUGUUUUCUUGGUUUCUCAAGAAACUGAAAGCGCAGAAACUUCUGUGCUGGUCUAACAGAGGAGUCAACGUGCACACCUCUAAAGUCUCAACAUGUUGUGUGAAGCAAGAUGAUCGGGAGCAAAAGAAAGGAAGAAAAAGACAUAUAUGUGAAUGUCUCUGGUUGAUCUUCCAGCAUAUUCACCCGUGCUGUUCGGAGACAUCUGUGUGGCUGGAGAAACAUAUUCCAGCAUUAUCUUAUAUUUGCUAGUGUUGCUUUGUUGAAAUAAUUGGAAAGGAUAUUUCUGUCAGUGCUUGGAUGUCUCAAUAAAAUCUUCAACCAUUA